AUUGAACGCUGGCGGCAUGCUUUACACAUGCAAGUCGAACGGUAGAGGGGGCAACCCCUUGAGAGUGGCGAACGGGUGAGUAAUGCAUCGGAACGUGCCCAGUCGUGGGGGAUAACGCAGCGAAAGCUGUGCUAAUACCGCAUACGAUCUCUGGAUGAAAGCGGGGGACCUUGUAGCAAUACGGGGCCUCGCGCGAUUGGAGCGGCCGAUGUCAGAUUAGGUAGUUGGUGGGGUAAAGGCUCACCAAGCCAACGAUCUGUAGCUGGUCUGAGAGGACGACCAGCCACACUGGGACUGAGACACGGCCCAGACUCCUACGGGAGGCAGCAGUGGGGAAUUUUGGACAAUGGGCGCAAGCCUGAUCCAGCAAUGCCGCGUGCAGGAAGAAGGCCUUCGGGUUGUAAACUGCUUUUGUACGGAACGAAAAGGUCUGGGUUAAUACCCUGGGCACAUGACGGUACCGUAAGAAUAAGCACCGGCUAACUACGUGCCAGCCGCCGCCGUAA
rnacentral:rRNA from 1 species